rnacentral:rRNA from 1 species
UGGUGGAGUGAUUUGUCUGGUUGAUUCCGUUAACGAGCGAGACCUUAACCUUUUAAUAGCCACGCGAAUCGCCUAAUAUGCGUUGAAGGAGGUUCGGCGGAUCGGUUUAAUCGCUGGUCCCUGGGCUUUUGGAUGCGUUGGUGUAUUCGUGGAUGAGCUUCUUAAAGGGACUCCUUGCAUCCAGCAAGGGGAAGGUUUGAGGCAAUAACA